UUUCAUAGAGAAUGGCAACACCAUGUUGAUUUGGACACUGGGCUUCUCAGACUAUACUGAAGGGGAAGCAAUGAUCCUUCCAACUGCUGGUUGAGAAUGUGCUGUGAAGAAACAAUUCAACUUAAGUUAUGGAAGAGCUUGAGCUCCUGCAGCCGAAUGCAUCCCUAAGUGAUACCUGUUCAACAUUUAUGGACCGAAUGAAUACGUUUUCCCACCAGCUUGGAGGCUGAAAGCACAAUGUUUUCUGAAGGUGCUCAGGAUUCUCCCUUAAAAGUUUGGAUGAAGACCAUGUAAUUUAACUAACCCAUGUGCUUGGUUGAGGGAGACUGAAUAAGU